UAAGAUGCACUAUAAUUGACUUGAUCGUACGAUGAUUUCGGCCAGUAGUUACGGUUGACAACUCGCAGAGAGCAGACGCAUUUGAUUGAGCAACCUUCGCUCUAUUUGUAAGCAAAGCGAAGAGCUAAUAGAUACCUAAUAAAAAAGUGCCUCAACUAACACAGCGCUAAGGAAUUGAAGUGAGGAUAUUCAGUCUCUACAGCUUCUAUCCGAACACAAAAUGGUAGGCGCAAUGAUACGUAUUGUGUUGAUCAUUUUUCUGAUGUACGGUUUCCUUGCGUCAUGCUCUAACGAUGAGCUGUUGCUCAAUCGAUCUGGAUUGAGUAAAAGCAGUAUCCAGUAAAAGCAAUGAGCACCAGCAAUUUACGGCUUCAAAAGACAGCCACAAUGCACCUAAACCACAGCCGGCUGCAGAUAUGACCAGCGAUUCGGAUGCAUUAUUCACAACUGUUAUUAUCAAUCUAUCUAUCUAUCCAAUAGGCAUUAUUAUGCUCAUUUGUAUUGCAGUAUUUAUCGCAUUUCCCGGUCCCGACAAACCUCAUUGCACCCUCUACCGUUGCUGGUCUGUGGUGGCAGCGGUGUUUUUUUACAUAGUGAUCAUCGUAGUUAUCAAAAAGUUCGCAUAAAACAAUGCGGACGACGAUGCAAAGCUUUUACAGCUCUAGAACUUAGAAAAAAGAAAACAAACAGGGCGACCCAGGGACAGGUAGUUGAUAGAAGAACAUCGUUUGGAAUUAUUGAUCAAGCGAGUAACGAUCAUUCCUGAGAAGUAAUUCCAAGACGCUUUUAGCGUAAUGCCAUAAAAACGUACAACUGCUGUGUAUAACGAAAGCAGAGAGAGCGAGAGAGGGUGAGAGAGAGAAUGAGAGAGAGAGAGAAAGAGAGAGGGAGAGAGAGAGAGAAAGAGAGAGAGAGAGA